GUUGCGAUCCCUCCAGGGAUGAUCAGCGAC
rfam:Frankia sp. EAN1pec, complete genome.